rnacentral:rRNA from 1 species
ACACUCCUACGGGAGGCAGCAGUGGGGAAUUUUGGACAAUGGGCGAAAGCCUGAUCCAGCAAUGCCGCGUGAGUGAAGAAGGCCUUCGGGUUGUAAAGCUCUUUUGUCAGGGAAGAAACGGUGAGAGCUAAUAUCUUUUGCUAAUGACGGUACCUGAAGAAUAAGCACCGGCUAACUACGUGCCAGCAGCCGCGGUAAUACGUAGGGUGCAAGCGUUAAUCGGAAUUACUGGGCGUAAAGCGUGCGCAGGCGGUUUUGUAAGUCUGAUGUGAAAUCCCCGGGCUCAACCUGGGAAUUGCAUUGGAGACUGCAAGGCUAGAAUCUGGCAGAGGGGGGUAGAAUUCCACGUGUAGCAGUGAAAUGCGUAGAUAUGUGGAGGAACACCGAUGGCGAAGGCAGCCCCCUGGGUCAAGAUUGACGCUCAUGCACGAAAGCGUGGGGAGCAAACAGGAUUAGAUACCCCAGUAGUCCCA